rnacentral:lncRNA from 10 species
CCUUCGUCGCUGCGCCCCGCCCGCGCGUGGGACCCCUCAGCCUCACCCUCUCUAGGGCGCAGCAAGUCCGCCGCGAGCCCCUCUGCUCAUCGCUCGUUACCCCCCAGGCCCUUGGGCUUGGGCUCAGGCCCAGUCGUUCCUCUGCAACAAAUCCAAUGGAACCGCGCCCUCCCUGAAUCCCACGUCUAGGAAGAGGAGGAGGAGCCCCUCUUGCUUGGGGGAAGGGGCUCCCGACUCGGAGCCCCGAGCCCCAUUCCUCUCCCGCGCCAGCUCUUCGGGACGCGGCCUCCCAGCGGACGCCCUGAGACCUUGCAAGUCCGCUAGGGAGGGGUCGGGACGAGCCGUCGCGGGUGGAUCCGCCCGGCCGAGCAACGACCCGCCCGGGCGCGAGGACCACGGGCUGUCGUGCGGGAGGCGUCGAGGGGCAGUAAACUCCGUUCGUGACCAAACGGAGACGAUUUGAAACUUGCUGCUCACACUGGAUCACCGUCUGGAAGCUGACGGAGGGGUUCCCACUCUCAUGUGAUGGCAGUGGCCAAACACAACACCUGACACUGGGCAGAUUCUGAUUUGACUGGUCCUGGGUGCAACGGGGCUGGCAUGAGACGACUAAAAACUCCCCAGGUGAAUCCAAUGAGCAACCAGGCUAAGGACCAGUGAUCUAACUGUAAGUCAUUCUCUUCUUUUCCCUUUGUAAUUUUAUGUUUCCACCUCAUACUGUGGUUGGCUACAUCUGUUUCUUCCCUCUCCUACUAGAAUGUAGGCUCCAGAUGGCCUUCCAAACAAUACAUGUGGCCCUUCACGCUCCAGGUGAUGACAAGUACCCGUUGCUGAUGGAAGUAGCAGAGUCAUACCUUUCUUGGAAUUUAGGUUCUACAGUCAAUGCUUAUGGCACCCAAUGAGUCAAAAACACCCUUGGCAACUCCUAAGGAAGGCUCUGCCCUGGAACCUGAUGUACUGUUUCCCCAUCACCAUCCAGGGAGAGUUUCCUCCUGGGCCGGAACAGAAAGCUGCCUCCUCCAUCAGGCACCAGAGGAAGUAGGGGGCUUCUGUUUAGGGACCACUUUGCAUAAAUACACAUUUAAACAUGUGCCUCACCCUCAGCACAGCAGGAUGCUCACGCCAUGAACAGCCAACAGGAACCAGAGUGACCGACCCUCCAGGAGGUACACACCUCCCUCCCAUCCCACCCACUUCUGAGCAUAUGGUUCUCACAUCCACCAGUGGGUGGAAUCACCCACACCAUUUAAACUUUUUGUCAAGGAUGUAGAGCUGAAUUCAUGUGAUUUCCCACAUGAGCAAUGUCCCUCCCUCCACUGCACAAUUAUAGCCAGCUCAAGCAGGUCCUCUCCUUCCUUCUACCUGCCCUGCAAAUGGCUCUCUCCUUCACUGACCCCCCGCCCUCCUUCUUAAAGGCUGAUGCUCCCUAGGACUCUAUCCUUGAUGCUUCUCAUUAAUUCUUCUCCCCGCUGGCUCUCAGCCCUACUUAGGGCUCCUGAUCAGUUAAAAAAGACCCAUGAGACCUCCCCUCCCCAGUUAACAGAGAUGUGGCCCAAGAGGCUCCCCACUUCUAAUUUGAGUGGGGGCAAAAGAAGAGAAAGAUCUUAUCUAGGUCUUGGGGGCAGGGCUUGCAGGGCACAAAGAAACAGAGUAAAUGUGCAACAGGCUAUUUUCUUGAAUGAAUGGAUUCAUAAUAAGAACAGGACUUCACCAGCUUCCAAGGGACCCUCCCCACCUCUCGGAUAUAUUCUGAAGCCUAAAUUUCACCUGCUUAUCUAGGAUCCUAGGCCAGGCCUUCUGCCACACCAAGCCACACCAACUCUGAGUCCAAGAGGGAAGGACUG